UAUCGGAGAAUAAUUUCUCUCUCUGAUCACCUAACUUCUACUGAUGAGGCUAGGAGGCUGCAGAAGC
rfam:Callithrix jacchus chromosome X, whole genome shotgun sequence